UACGUAGGGGCCUAGCGUUGUCCGGAAUCAUUGGGCGUAAAGAGCGUGUAGGCGGCCAGGUAGGUCCGUUGUGAAAACUCGAGGCUCAACCUCGAGACGUCGGCGGAAACCCUCUGGCUAGAGUCCGGAAGAGGAGAGUGGAAUUCCUGGUGUAGCGGUGAAAUGCGCAGAUAUCAGGAAGAACACCCGUGGCGAAGGCGGCUCUCUGGGCAGUAACUGACGCUGAGGAGCGAAAGCGUGGGGAGCGAACAGG
rnacentral:rRNA from 1 species